GCUGCCGCCGCCGCCGCCGCCGCCUCGGGCGCUCGCCCGGUUGGUUUCCUCCAGCAGACAAACUUUCGGCUCAAAGCUCGGCCAGAGAACGGGGUUGCUUGCAACAAGUCUCCAGAAUACAGCUUCCAGGAGAGGCUGAGGCUCCGGCUCCGGCUCGGGCUCCGGCUCUGGCUCCAGCUCUCCCGCGGCAGCGGCGUUGGCGGCGGCAGCUACAGCAGCAGCAGCCCCAGUCCCAGCAGCCCCGACAGAGGCGGCGGCGGCGGCGGUGGUGAUGGUGGUGGCGGUGGCGGUGGCGGCGGUGGCGGCGGCGGUGGCGGCGGGGAGGAGAUGGGAAGCGCCAGGCCAGGUUGCACCCCCCCUCCCCCACCCGCAAACAUGCACUCACACACACGCACACACACUGCACACACACAGACACACACGCACGCACCCCGCUCCCUGGCCCACGGCCCCGGUUCCUGCCCCGGCUCAGCUCGGAGGGCUUCCCGGCCACUUUCGAAUUUGCAACCACCCCCAAAAUAAAUAAAUAAAUGGGAAGCGAGCCGAGAGGAAAACAAA